AACGAACGCUGGCGGCAUGCCUAACACAUGCAAGUCGAACGAUCCCUUCGGGGAUAGUGGCGCACGGGUGCGUAACGCGUGGGAACCUGCCCUUAGGUUCGGAAUAACUCAGAGAAAUUUGAGCUAAUACCGGAUAAUGUCUUCGGACCAAAGAUUUAUCGCCUUUGGAUGGGCCCGCGUUGGAUUAGCUAGUUGGUGGGGUAAAGGCCUACCAAGGCGACGAUCCAUAGCUGGUCUGAGAGGAUGAUCAGCCACACUGGGACUGAGACACGGCCCAGACUCCUACGGGAGGCAGCAGUGGGGAAUAUUGGACAAUGGGCGAAAGCCUGAACCAGCAAUGCCGCGUGAGUGAUGAAGGCCUUAGGGUUGUAAAGCUCUUUUACCCGGGAUGAUAAUGACAGUACCGGGAGAAUAAGCCCCGGCUAACUCCGUG
rnacentral:rRNA from 1 species